rnacentral:tRNA from 1 species
AGGUAUGUAGCUCAGUGGUAAGAGUGCCUGCUUAGCAUGCAUGAGGUCUUGGAUUCAAUCCCCAGCACCUCCA